GUGAAAUACAAAUCGGACUAGGAUAUAGCUGGUUUUCUGCGAAAUCUAUUUUAGUAGAUGAUUUAUGUAUUUUAUUAGAGGGUAUAGCACUGAAUAUCUACAAUCUAUAAUUAUUCUUUGUAUUAUUGUGACUAUAUAUAUAUAUAGUAAUAAUAAUAUAAAUGAGUAAUAAUAAUAAUAAUAAGCAGUAGAAGGGAGUAUGAAAGUACUUACUUUGGAUAUUUAAUCUCAGAAUAUCUAAUAAAAAGAAAUAAGUUGUCAGACUUAUUGCGAUAAGGUGAUAAGUCGAAAGGGGAACAGCCCAGAAUAAUGUAUAAAGUUCCAGAAUUGUUAUUCAG
rnacentral:rRNA from 1 species